rnacentral:rRNA from 1 species
GCGAGCGGCGGAUGGGUGAGUAACACGUGGGGAACCUGCCCCUAAGUCUGGGAUACCAUUUGGAAACAGGUGCUAAUACCGGAUAAUAAAGCAGAUCGCAUGAUCAGCUUUUGAAAGGCGGCGUAAGCUGUCGCUAAGGGAUGGCCCCGCGGUGCAUUAGCUAGUUGGUAAGGUAACGGCUUACCAAGGCGACGAUGCAUAGCCGAGUUGAGAGACUGAUCGGCCACAUUGGGACUGAGACACGGCCCAAACUCCUACGGGAGGCAGCAGUAGGGAAUCUUCCACAAUGGACGCAAGUCUGAUGGAGCAACGCCGCGUGAGUGAAGAAGGUUUUCGGAUCGUAAAGCUCUGUUGUUGGUGAAGAAGGAUAGAGGUAGUAACUGGCCUUUAUUUGACGGUAAUCAACCAGAAAGUCACGGCUAACUACGUGCCAGCAGCCGCGGUAAUACGUAGGUGGCAAGCGUUGUCCGGAUUUAUUGGGCGUAAAGCGAGCGCAAGCGGAAAAAUAAGUCUAAUGUGAAAGCCCUCGGCUUAACCGAGGAACUUGCAUCGGAAA